rnacentral:tRNA from 1 species
GCGGGUGUUGUAUAACGGUAUUACCUCAGAUUUCCAAUCUGAUGACAGGGGUUCGACUCCCCUCACCCGCUCCA